rnacentral:lncRNA from 1 species
GCAAUUUCUUCCGAAGCACUGACUCAUGGGAGGAGGGGGGAGCGGCUUUUCCUUUUGCUCAGCUUGCAAGCCUCUGACAUGGGUGGUUCUUAGAAGUGUCGUUGGGAUGCUGGAGCGCAACCGUAUUUCUCAUUUUAAAAUCUAUUUCGAAUGACUAUGGUCUGUUGGGAUGUUCUGUCCAAGGAGAUUGGUCGGAGGUGUUGGAGCGAGCUGUGCUCAGCUGGACCUGGCAGCAAAACUGGGAGAGGCUCACAAUGAGGGUAGGAUAUCAACUCUGCACGUGAAUCCUGGCUCAACUUUUCUGGAUCUUCUUCUUGCUUUCCCAAGGAAGGUUACACGAGAAGCUCUGAAUCCCUGUGCUGCAGCAGGAAGUGUUUCGGAGGGACUGAGCAACUCAGGAGCAACUCAGUCCUGUGGGUAGCAGCACUGCACUUGCUGCAAUGGUAAUGAAGAAGAUCAGAUUGGAAUCCAUAGCUUCUUAGCUUCCUUGGGUCAGAGCCUGAGCUCUGUAUUAGCAGAGCUCCUUGUUCUUGGGGCCACUAUAUGAAUAAUAACACCAUCAAAAGAUUUUUCUAUACAGGUCACAAGGAAUCUGGCUGGGUUCUUGCACAAUUUUACUUCUUUUGCAAGUCACGUACAAGUGAGAAUGUUUUGCCUUUGCAUAAUCAUUCAAGUUAGUUUUUUUCCUGACCAAACCAGCACCUCCAUUCUUCUACCCCCAGUUUCUAGCAAGAAAAACAAUGCAGAGGUUUUGGGAAGAGUAUUCGGUUGUUAAUUCCUUUUCCAGAGGAAAACCAUCUCUUCACAGGAUGUGAGUGCCAGAAAUCCCAAGAGCCACUUUGAGGGUGGUAAGGUAUUGCCAUGAGCUGCAAUGCCAAUUCUGUGCGCACAUGCUGUGUUAUUGCUGAUGCUGACAUUCCCUAAUCUAAUCUCACACAUUGUGAUGCUUAUGCCAGCCUGCUCUAGGAUGAGCUCCUCAGCGUCUUUAAUUGGUGGGAAUAGACAGGUCCACUGUCUGCAUGUUUGAUAUGUGUGCAGUUUUCCAGCAGGCUUGUUCUUUUCUUUUUGUGUUGCUCCUUGAGUGCAACUUGGCAUGGUUUUGGGGGUGUUUUGGUAUUUUAUUGAUGUUGCUUUCAAGGCAGAUAUGUUUUCUUUCCCUUGAAAGCUAUGGAAAAACCUAAAGCUUCUUAAAAAAUAAAAAAAAUAAAGCCAUUCA